UUCCGGUUGAUCCUGCCGGAGGCCAUUGCUAUUGGAGUCCGAUUUAGCCAUGCUAGUCGCGCGGGUUAGACCCGCGGCAUAUAGCUCAGUAACACGUGGCCAAACUACCCUAUGGACAGGGACAACCUCGGGAAACUGAGGCUAAUCCCUGAUACAGCUCUCAUGCUGGAGUGCAGAGAGCUGGAAACGCUCCGGCGCCAUAGGAUGUGGCUGCGGCCGAUUAGGUAGAUGGUGGGGUAACGGCCCACCAUGCCAAUAAUCGGUACGGGUCAUGAGAGUGAGAGCCCGGAGACGGUAUCUGAGACAAGAUACCGGGCCCUACGGGGCGCAGCAGGCGCGAAACCUUUACACUGCACGACAGUGCGAUAAGGGGACUCCAAGUGCGAGGGCAUAUAGCCCUCGCUUUUCUGUACCGUAGGGAGGUACAGGAACAAGUGCUGGGCAAGACCGGUGCCAGCCGCCGCGGU
rnacentral:rRNA from 1 species